UCUUGGCUCCGUAAGGCUCCGAGGUGCCGGGGUGCGGCGGCGGCAGCGGCGGCCAGCAGGGCGGAGGCUGAGGCAGCAAGCUCGCUAGAGAGGGAGAAGCAGUCGGGCGCAGGCGCCUCCUCCGCAGCCCGCUCCAUGGUCGGCGCCCACAGCCCGCGGCGGCCUGUCUUGCGCUCCACUUCCUUCACAUCCUCCUCCGCCUCCUCUUUUUCAGGCGCCGCCGGCGGCGCUGUGUGGAGGCCCGCGAGCUGAAAUUCGCGGUGCGACGGGAGGGAGUGGAGAAGGAGCACACGUCACAUGGAGAUGGGCGUCAAGAAGUUACCUCUCGUACCAGCCGCUCAGGAGCUCGGUGUAGAAACUCUAUAGCUUCCUGUGCAGAUGAACAACCUCACAUCGGAAACUACAGACUGUUGAAAACAAUCGGCAAGGGGAAUUUUGCAAAAGUAAAAUUGGCAAGACAUAUCCUUACAGGCAGAGAGGUUGCAAUAAAAAUAAUUGACAAAACUCAGUUGAAUCCAACAAGUCUACAAAAG
rnacentral:sRNA from 1 species